GUGUAGUGCGGUGCAGCUGAAAAGAAGAUAUGUUCGACUGCACUUUCUCGCCUCGAAUGACAUCUGUUGGAAAAACUACUCUGUCGGAUUAUUCGAGCCUAGGAAUCUUAUUUGUUAACGAGACGUUCGAGAUACCGAAAUUCGGCGAAUUCACUCGGAACACACAAACGCCGAAGGCACCUGUACGAAGUUGGAGGCCCGCCGAAGAACUACUGGUAGCGUGGGCGUCGAUACCUUCGAGGAGACACGAACACCAAGAAUCUAUCAACAAACUAGAAGACUCACCUCGCUGGAACAUGAACUGCAUUCCGUAACACAUAAUCUUCCAUUCAAGAAGAAGAAAACUACAGCAGGCGCGCCGAGGAGCACGUCUCGCGGUGUUCCAUCGCGGAGAAAGUCAUCGCCGGCAACAAUGACGACGGCUGCCAUCGUCGUCGCCACCACCAUCACCACCACCACCACCACCACCACCACCACCACCACCACCACCACCUCCGCCACCAUCACCAUCACUGUCCUAGCCGCCGCCGUUGUCACCGCUGUGGUUGUCGUAUUUACCGCGAUGUAUUCACCGAUACACCGGGAAAAGAAGACGAGGCGAAGAAAAGGGGGAGAGGAAAAAAAAGCGCCACUGCGAGGAACAAUAAUUAAUUCGUACGCGAAACACGUACGCGCCGGACACGCACACGCACGACCGCCGGCCGCGAUGGAACGCGCGCGCUUGUUGUUCUCCAUCCUUCUCUCCAUCCGGUACCACGGAAUAUUCGGCUGCCAAUCGCGACGGCCGCGGCCGCGUGGCGGAUAUAAAUACAUGCCGUGCGGUCCUCGGCACUGGUGCCGGCCGCGCCAGGCUGUUUAAUUAGUAUAAAAAUUCGUCGAUGGAUUUCCGCGGGCGAACCCCCUGCUCUCGCGUGCGGCGCAAGAUGGUCGGGAGAGACGCCGGGGUGCUCGCGCGCUCUAAUGACGACGGCUCCUUUCCGGCGUACGUAUUUUUAGGACGGAGGAUUUUAGGGGGUAGGCGUUUUCGCGCAAGAUCAUUCCUCGUGUCGUUAAAUCGAUCUUUAUCGCUGUCGUAGACUUGAUAAAGAUUGAGCGGAAUUAAUCGCUCGCGGAAAGCAAGUUCCGCCACAAACAGCGGCGCGAGCGGACGACAAUAAGGUCCAAAACCGGGACGUAAGAUAAGAUGCCCUUUGACACGAAGUCCAAAAGAUGCUUACUCUGGAUUGCUACUGUAGAUGAGUGCUCACUCAAGUGUAGUACAGUUUUUGUGUUAAAAAUUUUGUUGUUAAAAUAACAUUUAGCAAGUUUUUUUUAAAUUAAAAUAGUAUUAGUUUCAUCGUUCUAACUUCGCAAUUUACAUUGAGAAAAAAAGUCGAAAUAUUCAGAAACAUAUAUAUAUAUUUCUGUAGAUUUUAUUCUUCUUGUGCAUUUAUUUGUGUUAAAAACAAUUUUUAGUUAUUAUUUCUUAAGCGAAAAGUAGUGUUAGAAAAAAUAUGAAAAUAGCUUUUCAGAGUUAACGAUGUCUUUAAACACGUAUGUCUAUAUGCGUUGAUAUGCGAGGACAUAGCAAUGGGAGUAAUCGAUGUUUUUGAAAGUGGAAUUUACCAAAAUUGCUACGAAUAUAGAAGCAUAGAAAUAGAACCAGAUAUAGAAUCCGAUUUCUCCGACAAAUGUGUAGCGACGUUAAUCCGCGAUCAGCGACGUCGCGAUCGGUAAAUUAAUAGCGAGGAAAAAAGAUGGAUUCACCGUUAUUUCCAGAAUCGUCAUUUCCCACAGCGGGGAACAAUGCGCAACAUUGACGACGGCGACGAGGAACGUAGAGGCGUAGAGGAUCUCGGUAGAAGUAGGCCGUGCAAAUGAGGUGGACUCCGUGGAACGCGUUUGCUAUAACCGAGGCAACCGCGAGUCGCGCGUGUUAAUUGCAGAACAAGCGGCUACAGUUUUGUAGGGCGCGACGGACGAUAUGCGUCUCGACGGCUCAACGGGGGCAGGACGUCGAAACGAGAGACGCAAAAGAUUUCCCUCCUUUCCCCUCUCCCCUUUCCUGCCGCCGAGAUCGACGUCGGUCCUGGCUCGGAAGGAAAGAUGAAAAGGUACAUACGUCCUGGCCGGCCGUUAUUAGCGCGCUAAUAAUUAAAAGGGGAGAGGAGGGGGCGGUAAUUAACUCCAGUUGAGACUCGAGUGAUAACACGGCACACCUGCGGUCAACAAGUCGUUUUACAGGGCGCUCAUAAUUGCGCGGUGUCUCUAAUUAGCGAAACGCCGAUGGAAAAACUUCCAGGCCGGUCCGAUCGGCUCGGCGUCUCUCUAUAAUCGUAUCUCUGUGUCUCUAUACUUUGAGACCCACGGCGGGAUCCGUAGGAAUGGAAUCCGGAGGGUCUUACUAUGUUACCAUGAAUGUGAAUGUAGAGGGAAGAAUCCUUCCGCUCAUCGGCGGGAUCGGGUGUUCCGGGGGGCCGUCAGACGCGGCCCGGCGAUCGGAGGAAAGCGAGAGAUUCGCGAAGUCACUCCGCGAUUUUUUACCCGAUUUUUCAUCUUAUGGAGAUGCGACGACAUCUCGAAAGUCCGCUCGGGAGACGAUCAUCGGCCAAUUUCGAUCGUCGCGGUUCCGGUUCCAAUUAGCGGACUCCGUCGGAUCCGCGAGCACCACACCCCAAUUGAUACCACGCGCUUUUAAUUCGCGGCCGAUCGCUCUCGCGGACGGGCCUCGUGAGGUAAGACGCGAGUAACGUAACUUACGCAACAUUUUUAUCGCCCUCUCGCCGGAAUAUUCAAAACAGAUACCUAUGCGCGACAGCUUGCCGCCGAGAUCGUGCCGGGGACUCCCCGGCUCGAGCCUAGAAUAAUCGCGCGGAAUCGAGGUGUCAUAUAAUUAAAGAAAAACGGCUCUUGUCGGUGAGCGUAUGAAAAAGAGCUCGCUCGCGUGUAUCGAGGUGAGAUUUCCUUUUUACGUGUCCGCGGCCUGGCAGUGUCGCUAAGAAACAGUCAUUUCUUCCUCCUCCGUCCCCCCUCUCUCUUUAAAUCGCGUCGUCUCGGUAUUACAAAAAAAACUCUCUUUUAUCGCUAUCGGUGAUACCACGCCCGAGGUUGCACGCGCGCCUUAUCGCGAUAUACAUGGGGGAAAUCAAACGCGUCCCGCGGUAUCCGCAAUAACGCACUGUCGGCAUGUUUGUAAAUCCGCGCGAAGAUCCGCACGACACUCCCCCGGGAUCCCUCCGGCUUGCACGAGGAAUGCGCCGAGUGUCGAUCGAGAAAAGUGUCGGCCGAUCCGAGGGAACAACGGUGACGAGGAUGGCUCGACGAGUGGAAGCCGCGUUUAAGCGCUAUAAUAAACGCGACCCGAGUGGAAUGCAUCUCGAUUAUCUUAGAAAAAAGACAGAGAAAGAAAAAAAGGGAGGAUCUCACUAGAGUGGAAUUUCCAAUCGACAUAGUUAUAUAUUUACUAUAAUAGUUAUAAGUUUUAGUACGCACCUUAUAGAACUUAAAACUUGUUGCUGUAGUUGUACUCGUAUUAUUUCGUCCUUUUUUUUUUAAGUAACAAUGAUAUAUUUAUAUAAUUUUUUUUUUUUAUAACGUCUAAUUCCAAUUAUCAAAUUCUACGUGAUGUGUAUGUUAUGUAAAUGUAGCAUUUGCACAUUUAUAUUUUAUGAAAGAAACCAGUAGAUACAAAUAACUGUGAUAUAAAUAUUACGAUUUGUUAUACGUAAAUAUUAUUUUCAAAUUACAUAGCAGGUUUACAAAUUGCGUCGAUUGGGUUGUUUCACUUACUUGAGAAGAUUUGAGGCUCCACUUUUGUUAAGCACAGAGCGAUAAUCUCAGCUCAAUCGCGCACGAGUUUCCCCGAGAGUUAAUCCGUCGUUCUUCCUCUAACGCGAUAUCCAUAGUUUUUGUGAGAAUCCUGAUGUCUCGCGACCGGUAUCGCACACGGGCCGUCAUAUUCAAUCGUAGCGCGCAAUCACAAUCGUAUUCCGAGCACGACGCGGAGAUCAGUGCGACGACACGGCGGCCGCGGAUCGUUUUAACUAGGAAAUCGUUCUCGCCUUACAGGAUGCCGGUGCGUCAAUAUUGACACAUUUCUUACGAAACGCGCGAGAGAACCGGGCUUUCGUCCGUCCUCUAUCUCCCCGGUCCUCCUCUACCUGGGGAAUGCCGAAAAAUCCCCCGUAUAGACUCCCGAGGAAUAAAUGUUUCUCCUACAAUUCUUCAAUAAGCCCUUGCAAAACUGCUACAUUUGCCAAACGCAGUCAAUGGCUGUGGAAUAACAUACUUCAAGAAUCCAGGGAUUAUGAGGUCCAGC
rnacentral:misc_RNA from 1 species